UUUAUAAGUUGAGUUUUAUUAAUACUUUCACCCCUUUGACCUACAAAAUAGCAUCAUGACACACAAUCUUUCAUACACAAGAUUAUGUUAAUUCAAAUUUCGCGCGCAAAUACACCCUAAGGUACGGCUCGGCAUAAUCCGAGUCCGAAAAUCUGAGAGGUUAUGUUUUGAUCACUCUCUAGCAGUUUGCUUGCUUCUUAUUUGAUGUGAAAGUUAAGAUUUGCCAUUGAUUAAGGUGCUGCAGUGAGAACAACAUUUUUUUGUUUGCUGAACUAGGAGGAGAAUUAACAUACGAUCCCUUGGAGAAAACAAGGAUCGUUAAUGAGACAGUUAAUUUUCUAGUGGAAGAAAAAUCACGCAGAGUGAAAAGUCAAGGGCUUGCUGUCUUUUUAAUAAGUAUCUGAUGUGCAUUACUGAGGCUCCACGUGUAGUUAAAAAUUUAUACGAGAUUUGUGCACUUUGCCAUACUAAAGUAAGAAGGAAAAUCAUUAGUGAAAAAUGUAAGCAUUGCAAAAAAAUCCAAAAUUUGCAGUAAAUACAUUAUGAAGAUUCAGGUAAAUAUUAGGUAGUCUAUGGUAAGUCUAACAUUAUCUACAAGUCGCUCUGCCUGUUUAACAUCUUUUUAAUGUGUUUUCUCACUCGAUUGAGUGAUUUUUCGCAGCGAGAAGGAUCCUCUUACCGGUUCGCACGCUAGCGCUAAAAAAACCACGGCUCACAUAACCUCAUCUCAACCACUGAACGACUGCUGACGGCGAAGAUACACAUGGCUUUUCCAUCAGGAGGACAUAACAUCAGUGUUCAACAUCGCUAAAAAGGAAAAAAAGGAAAAUCACGUUUCUGUGAUCAUCAGCUCCAACUUCCACCGAACCGAGGUCUUCUUCAGAAAUGUUUUGAGGUUAGAAACACAUAGCUCUAUCUCUCUCUAAAAAGCGCGAGAUCAGUUGUCACCGUCGCUGCGCGUCUAGUACCAAUUGUCGCCACCAGAGUGCAACACCAUCGACUCUGGAAAAACGUUGGCACCUAUGACUGAUCGGCCAUGGUAAUUUUGGCGCGUGUCUCAAGAAUCUGCUAGAACGGGAGUUUUGAAAAUUGAAAAAGGAAGGAAGGUUCUUUCUUUUCUCUCGAAAAUGUUGAUAAGCAUUACAAGCUGAAAAAACACAUACGUCCUCACAUGCCAAAAUGGCGCCGGGCCGAAACAAGCCUCCUGACAAGUGUCGCAGUAAUUUUGCAUGUUGCAAACAAAAACCUGCAACAACAGCAGUGUGCGUGAUCUGUGAUGAGGCAUAUCACCUUAGCUGCCUUAAAAACAAGAAUGAAAACUUUAAAUUCAUUGGUAAUAACCUUAUAGUAUGCUCUGAACACAGUGAUCGGAACAUAACCUCAAAAAUUGAUGAGGAUGUCCUGAGUGAGUCAGCAUCACUUUUAAUUGCACAGAUUAAACUAAAAAAAUCAGAAGAUGUGAGGAAUGACCUUCUGGCAGAAACUAGUAACAAGACUUCAAGACUUGCAAGAAACUGAUUCCAUAGAUGAAAGUGAUCUUGAACUGCUGAAAACGGAAAACAUGCUGUUAAGGAGAUUAGUUAGUGAAUUAACUGAGAAAAUUGACCUCCUAAAAGAAAAAUUACAAAACACCAGAGGUAAAACUUACAACAAUGUCCUUACAUACUCAGAUGCCAUGAAGUACUCUAGACCAAUCCAUAAAAAAAUUCCUAAAAUAUCCGUAAGAAAAAACAACAACAGUAAUAUAGAUGUUAUGAAGUCAGUUAUUGAAUGUCUAACAGCUGAAAAAAACAUCCAAACAAAGAACAUCUACGUAAAUAAAAAUGAAGAAGUCAUUAUAAGCUGUCUUAAUGAGAAUAGUGCGGUAUUGACAGAGACAGUACUAAAGGAAAAACUAGAGGACCAAUGUGAUGUCAUGAAAAAUUAACUCAACAACCCGAAAAUUAAGAUAGUAGGUAUAGAUAAUCACGCAAAUAUGGACAUCAAGGAUAUUGAAAAGGACAUAAACGAAAGGAACUUCAGUUAUUUUGAAAAGGGAGAACAAGUCCUACACAUGUAUAAGAAUAAUUAUAAUAGCUUGAGUACGGUCAUAAUGGAAGUCCCAGCUGAUAUCUACAAGCAUAUAAGAGAAAAUAAUAACAAAGUUUUUGUUGGAUAUCAGCAAUGCAAAGCCUAUGAUUUGGUUAACGUUUGCCCAUGUUUCAAGUGCGGUAGAUUUGGACACAGUGCCAGGAAAUGCCAAAAUGAGUUUCUGCGUUUGAAAUGUUCCGGGAAGCAUAAUACGUGUAAUUGUGAUAAAGAUUAUGCUAAGUGCAUUAACUGUCACUAUAGUAACACAAAAUAUAAGUCAAAGUUAGACACGAAACAUCAUACUUAUGACUCUAACUUGUGCAGCAUCUUGAAAAAGAAAAUUGACAGAUAUAUUGACUCUAUUGAUUAUCCGAUAAAACCUACUCUACCUGAAACUGAAUCGAUCUAUCACAGCAUAGAAUUGGCAAACAGGCGUAAAGUAUCCACAGAGGCUAAUAAUGUCGUAGAUAGUGAACAACAGGAAAAUGACACUCCGCGCAAUAAAACAAAGCCAAAAACUGAACACAACAGAAGACCAAUCAGAAGACGUGAUCCACAAAUUCCACUGAACCAUCUAAAACCGCAAUCCUCUGCAUUGUCACCAGCCAACAAGAGUGAUAAAAACAAGAUCAAGAAAUAGGUAAAAAUGGAUAUUUUUGAUUAUUUGGAUAGGUUUCAAAAUGAAUCGAUGCAAAAAGAACGGACAUGUGGUAAUAUUGAAAAUUUUAUCAAAGCUAUAAACAAUAAGAAGGACUUUAUCAUGCAUGUAAACAUUCGUAGUAUGAAUGCAAAUUUUGAUAAGCUGAAAAUUUUAAUAGAAAGUUUAGCUAUCAAACCAGCGAUUGUGAUAUGUUCAGAAGCUUUUGAGCAAGUUAAUUAUAAUUUCUAUCAACUGAAUGGUUCAGAUUAUGAAUAUAAAACUUAUUAUAACGAAAGUAGGAUAAACAGGAAUGAUGGAGUCUUUGUUUUUGUCAAUAGCAAUCUAAUCCAAAAUACCAAAGUCAUUGAAGCAGGGAGAAUUAAAAUAAUAAAUACUAGAAUAACCUUAAAUGAUAAAAGCGGUCUUGAAAUAUCAGCCAUGUAUAAGUCACAUGGGAUACCGAAAACAGAAUUUAUACUAGAUCUUAAUAAGUACUUAAUUUAUAAAAAAAUGUAAAGAAUCACUUAGUCAUAGAUGAUUUUAAUAUUGACCUGCUAGACUGUGAUCAUAAUAGCCAAGAUUUUCUAUGUAACUUCCUUGAUAAGGGAUAUAUUCAGGGUUUUGUUGGUAUUACAAAGCCAGCUAUCGGUAGAGCUAAAGGAUCAUGUAUCGACAACAUUUUCAUUAAAUCUCACAACAUUAACACAGCCGCAUACAAGCUUAAGCAUGAUCUAACGGAUCAUUACCCGAUUAUCAUAGCUGUAAAUAAGCUAAAGACAGUAACUAAAGAACCGUAUGUUUUCUUAAACUACAAAAAAAUAAUAAAUAACGCUAAUUCAAGAAACUGGGAUGAAAUUAGUUCGAUACCUGAUCCAAACUUGACUGUAGAAAAAUUGUUAAAUGAAAUCAAGCAAUGCGUAGAAUUGUCAAAAACAACAAAAAAGGCUAAUAGACAAAAUGGUAGAAAAAACUGGAUUACCGACGCAAUAAUAAGAUCAUGUGAAACCAAAGAAUUUUUGUAUAAUUUGUGGCAACUAGAUGUGCAGAAUAAACAGCUUAAAAUACAGUAUAAAACCUAUUCUAAAAUCUUGGAUAAGGUAAUUACCGAUUCCAAAAUGAAAUAUGAAUUGAAUCUAGUGCAGAAUAAUUACAACAACCCAAAAAAACUAUGGGAAAGAAUAAAUACAAAAAUUAGUUAAAUAUACCUAAUAUAUAUGUGAAUCUCUGUGAAACCAAAAUCAACAGUUGAUUUUCAAAAUGUUAUUAAUCAUUCAAAACACAGCGAUAACUGGUAGGAUCCUCAUGGGGAAAUCGGAGCUCUUCAUAUCAUGAAUCCAUUGGAGAAAAGUUUGUCAGAGAUGUUUUGGCUAAUGUUGGUUUUGAAGAAACAAACCCGUCUUACUCUUGACGCGCGUCUUGUCCGUUACGGACGCGCAUGCGCCACGCGAAUAGUUUGGGCUCGUUCGCAGAGCGCGUACAUAUAUUUAAACCGUGUAAUUCGUAAUUCGCGCAGGUCUCGUUUGUUUGAAAUUGUCAGCCUCAUUUUUAAUAAAGUUUUUGCAAUAUUCAAAUAAUUGCAUCUGCGUCAAACUUGCUGACUCCUUGGUUGCUAGCAUCUUACCCAUCACCUUAGAUAUUCCUAUGAAUCGCAAAUGGAUGCCAAAAGCUGAUACUACAACGUGGACUCCUUUGGAAUUCAUUUCCGAACUCUUUUGGAAAUGGUCACAAAAACAAGAAAGACCCAUCAAUGGCAGUCUCUUACAGUUAGUAACCAAAGAUAACAAGACAGAAGUUAUUCCUGCCUAAUUGACAAAUUAAGAUGCUCCAACGAAAUCUCAUGAAAUGAAAGUAAAAGUGCUCAAAAGAAGCAGGUCCUAGUGCAAAUUAUUGUAAAAUUUUGGUAGAGAGGAAGGAUAUUGCACGUCAAGAUGCAUUAGAAGAUAACUAUGAAUAUUACGUGAACAUACGUGAACAACUUGAAGUCUACAAAGUCUACAAUUUGGCUGAAUCUAGAGCAUUGGAGAGCGUAUUAUAGAAUAUGAUUGGCAGACUAUAUUAUACGAUUAUUGAGGAUGAAAAAAAGGCUCCUCCCAAGACUGCCAUCGAGGCUGCUGUACCGGCUGCUGUACCAGCUACAAUCGGAUCUGUUAUUAGAGCUCUUUUUGGGACUCCUGCAACUGAGAUCGAGGCUGUGGUGGAGGCUAGUGUACCAGCUGCAAUUGGAACUCCAAGAGAUGUUUAUAUAUUGAUGUGUUUGUUAAAGUUCAACGCGAUCAUACACAAUUAAAUACUUUGCAUCAGGUCAAUGGAGCUAUAGAUAGCUUAGUUAUUGGCCUUCGCAAUGAUCCUAAUGGAACAAGGCAGCGCUGACCAUCUUUUAUGAAUGCAUGUUCAACGCAAGGCAUGGGAUACUAACAAAACUUUUGAAAUAGCCAUCUUAGGGUGCACCUUCGAUGAUUAGAAAAAAAUCAAGAAGAGACUGCAAGAUGCAGACUUCUGAUGUUAGAUUUUUAAUGAGAAAACGUUACAUGAUUAAUCAAAAUACUUCCGAAUACAGAAUUUUUUUAUUUGUACAACAUACAUCAUAAUCUAUUAGCUUGGUUUCAUUCAAAGAAUGUCAAAUAAAUUUUCUAAAAUAAAUGCAAUUACCAAA